rnacentral:lncRNA from 1 species
CACUAUCAUGGAGGGAGGAUGGGUUUGUAGAGUGUCUUAGGAUCAAAGCCUGACACUAUGUGUCAUUGUGUGUCACUGAGCCCCUCAAUAUAUCCACUGGGGUUUGAUCGAAAAGGAAGAGCCACUAUGAGUGAUAUAGAAUGAAGACAUUUGGGGGAAUUAGACCUUACACAAUUGUGGGAGCUGAUUCAACAGUCUGCCCAAUGCAGCUGUUGCCAUGUCCAGUGUUGGUCCUAAGUCAGUAGAGCCAGCAGUUGGAAAGGAGAGAUGAGUGUGAAGAGGGGGAGAGUAAGACUAGAUUAGAACCCAUGAAGACAAACUGGGACCCUGGAGGACAAACUGGAACUCACAUUUGUCUCACUCUCUUUCAGUGAUGCAAGUGACCUGCAGGAUUCACUGGUGCCCCACAGAGCUGCACAAGCUGGCCCAGGAUUUGGAGAAGCAGAAGAUUCGACAACUUGGAGGUCCUUGGGCUAAAUGGAGGAGAAGGGUAUACAGAGCUGAGAGCCAAGGAAGCCGAUGAGGAAUUGCACUUGGGUGUGGAGAACAAAACUACGUGGCCAUUGAUUGACUCAGGAGCUCUGCUGGAGGUGCCCUUGGCUCCCUGCAUCUUAAUCCUGGCCUGAGAAUGGUCAGUCUACUUGAGGGCCAGUAAUACGAUCUUAAACCUUCAUGACUU